AUUGAACGCUGGCGGCAUGCUUUACACAUGCAAGUCGAACGGCCGCGCGGGCUUCGGCCUGGCGGCGAGUGGCGAACGGGUGAGUAAUGCAUCGGUACGUGCCCAGUAGUGGGGGAUAGCCCGGCGAAAGCCGGCUUAAUACCGCAUACGACCUGAGGGUGAAAGCGGGGGACCGAAAGGCCUCGCGCUAUUGGAGCGGCCGAUGUCGGAUUAGCUAGUUGGUUGGGUAAAGGCUUACCAAGGCGACGAUCCGUAGCUGGUCUGAGAGGACGACCAGCCACACUGGAACUGAGACACGGCCCAGACUCCUACGGGAGGCAGCAGUGGGGAAUUUUGGACAAUGGGCGCAACCCUGAUCCAGCAAUGCCGCGUGCGGGAAGAAGGCCUUCGGGUUGUAAACCGCUUUUGUUCGGGAAGAAAUCCUCUGGGCUAAUACCCCGGGGGGAUGACGGUACCGGAAGAAUAAGCACCGGCUAACUACGUG
rnacentral:rRNA from 1 species